rnacentral:rRNA from 1 species
GACGAACGCUGGCGGCGUGCUUAACACAUGCAAGUCACGGGGGCUGGAGCAAUCCAGUAACCGGCGAACGGGUGCGUAACACGUGAGCAACCUGCCGUACUCAGGGGGAUAGCCGGCCCAACGGCCGGGUAAUACCGCAUACGUUCUCGCAGGGGAGUCCCUGUGGGAGGAAACCUCCGGGGGAGUACGAGGGGCUCGCGGCCUAUCAGCUAGUUGGUGCGGUAACGGCGCACCAAGGCGACGACGGGUAGCUGGUCUGAGAGGAUGGCCAGCCACAUUGGGACUGAGAGACGGCCCAGACUCCUACGGGAGGCAGCAGUGGGGAAUCUUGCGCAAUGGCCGAAAGGCUGACGCAGCGACGCCGCGUGGGGGAUGAAGCAUUUC